GUACCUACCUCAUAUGAUUGUUGUAAGGAUUAAAUGAAUGAAUACACAUAAAGGACUUCAAAUAGGGCUUUAAGGACUAUAUACAGUGUUGGCGGUUCUAUUUUUAUAGUAGAUGCUUAAGAGCCCCCAGGGCUCCAGGUUGCUCCAAACCCAGCUCCUUUGAGCUCUCUUUCCCUCUCAUAGGAGAACAGAUCCUGCUACCCCUUACCCCUGGCCAGGCACUUUGAGGAGGAGCAGCACCGAGAAACAGGACUCUCUGAGGCCUCAGACCUCACCUAGUCAAAGUUCAGGGAUCCGGAGCCUGGGAGGCUGGGGUGGGAGGGAGCGAGGAGGCCGUGCCAGCAGCUGAAUUUGUUCAUCCAGCCUGUCAGUCCCUUAAUCUGAUCCCCGAGGAACACCGCGGAGGCUUCACUCUGGAUGACAAACGAGGAGGGGAGAGGCCUGCCCUGCCUGGACUCCGGGUCCCAACCAUGACUGUAUAAGCAAGAGGACACUGAGAACAGGCCCUGCACCGCCUUUUACUCCUUAGAGGGGUCUCCCCAGUGGUUCAUGCCCAGACCUUGGAAUCCUGGCUCACAUUGGUUCACCGGGUGCCACCCUCAGGCGCACCCCUGGGGGAUACUUCUGAAACCAACUCCCACAGCCCGUCGGCUGGGGCGUUCCUGGGGUAGCCACAGUCACCGAGAUCUUCCUUCAGCUGCCACAAGAUUUCCCCUUGAAUCGACGAGGUUCGAAUCCCCUGUCCCAGUUAUGC
rnacentral:lncRNA from 1 species